GCUCCUCAAAUAAUUAAAAAAGGAUAUUAUAACAAUUGUAUACAUUUCAGUAUAACUCCUACGUAUGAUUCUAUGACUAAUUUUUCUGAUUCAGUCUAAGAUGAAACCCUAAUAACAUUAAAGGGAGAGGCUAACACGUAGUUACAGCCCUUUGUUAAUUCUGUACGAUUCGGUUCUUAUCCGUGCUUGGGAAGAUUUCAAGCAUUCUAAGAAGAAAGUUUCACUUUUGUCCUCACCUUUCAUCUCUUUGUCUCUAGGUUUAGUUAUAUCUGGUUUUCUAACUUUCUAUGUGAUUGGUUUCCGUUUAGAUUGAAUGAUUUGGAUACUUUCUGAUUUAACGUCUUUGCGAUGGAUUUGGCUCAGCUCCUUCUGAGUUGAAUUAAGAGUUUUUCGAUUUGGUCUGUAAGUAUGUGCUUCAUCAAAGGGUCAUCAUUACAUAAAGCAAUUAAUUUCGAUUACAUGAAUCAUCGUUACUCAUCCUCUGAUUUCGCUGAAUUCAGCUGUACAAUUCCUCACAAAGAAGCUGCAUGAAAAUGUAGCGAUGAGGUUGAUCCACUGGCAAAGGAGUUGUGAACAAUAUAUUAAGGAGAUAAAGGACGUGAACUUACUGGGUUACAAGACGGAUUGCAUUUGAUUUUAUUUCGGCAUUGAGGACCGCCUACAAACCUCAGUUGAUCCAAUCAAUGACAUUCUUCCUCUUCUUCACGACUAACCACAUGUGAAACGUGGGUAACUAUUGGUGCUGGGUAAGCAGGAAAUAUAGGCACUUGCUCAUGGUGCAAAAGAGAAGGGGCCAAAGUUGUAGUUGCUAAUCGAACUUACGAGUGAGCACUAGAACUCGCAGAAGCAAUUCGAGGCAGAGCGUUAUCUCACACGGAUUUAGAUAACUUCCACCCAUAAGAUGGCAUUGUAUUGUCCAACACCAUGCACGUUUAUGGGUAUGCAACCAAAUGUUGAUGAGACUCCCAUUUACAAGGUUAGCUCUUCGUGUAACGACUACCUCUUUUCCUUUUGUUUUCUAUUAAUAACAAAGGUGUGUUUAUUUUUUUUCUUAUAAUGUAACAACAACGUUCUUAUCAUCUGCAAAUCUCUUGGAAAGUCUUUAAUUUAUAACUUCGGUUUGUUUCCCCAACA